GUAACUUUAGCAGUACAUAUGCUAAAAUUGGAGCAGUAUAGAGAAGAUGAGCAUGGGCUCCACGCAAGGAUGACACCCACAGUGAUGAAGCAUUCUGUAUUUUU
rnacentral:snRNA from 1 species